GUGAACGUACCUUAUCAUUAUAACCAGGAAUGUUUUGUGUUUCUGAUGGGAAAUACCAAAAUCCUUCGGAGACUGUAGAGCUCAGAGCUCUACAGAACUCCGAAUCCAGCAGACACGGCUGAGGAAAACAGGAGUGUAACAGGAAGAGAAGAGGAGGAAAAGACUGUAAUUUAUCAUUCACUGUUCUAGUGCAGUAGCGAGACCAAAAGAGCACUGCAAGCUUUCACUCAAGCAAAAUUGCUUCUGAGAAAAAUGUGAAAGAAAAGCCUUCCAAGAUAAAGGCUCUCAAAGGAAGGGUACAAUCAAACACACGUUCACAGAACCGCUGAGACACUACGGACACUUUGGACACGCCGAUCAGCCUAUAACGCAUGUCUUUGGACUGGAGGAGGAAACCAGAGUACCCGGAGGAAACCCCUGAAGCACAGGGGCGGCGGUGGAUCUGGAGUCUGUCCCAGGACCACUGGAUAUGAGGCAGGAAUACACCCUCGACCGGAGUUUCCAUUUCCGUUAUGGAGAACACAAACUGCGACUUGCGCGUGAAUCGGAUUAAAGUGAGGAAGACUCGCGCAGCAUCGGCCUCGCUCUCACUUCCCGGUGACCGCCAAGACUGAGCAAGAUGACUCGGCAAGACUGAGUCAAGACGACUGAAGAUGGUCCCCGGGCGCAGUGACUCAUACACACACUCAC
ensembl:lncRNA